rnacentral:rRNA from 1 species
GUGCCAGCCGCCGCGGUAAUACGGAGGGUGCGAGCGUUAAUCGGAAUUACUGGGCGUAAAGGGCGCGUAGGCGGUCGCGCAAGUCGGGUGUGAAAGCCCCGGGCUCAACCUGGGAAUUGCAUUCGAUACUGCGUAACUAGAGUCUGGUAGAGGGAAGCGGAAUUCCGCAUGUAGCGGUGAAAUGCGUAGAUAUGCGGAGGAACACCAGUGGCGAAGGCGGCUUCCUGGACCAAGACUGACGCUGAGGCGCGAAAGCGUGGGGAGCAAACAGGAUUAGAUACCCUGGUAGUCCACGCCCUAAACGAUGAGGACUAGACGUUGGGGGGAUAAAACCCUUUAGUGUCGCAGCUAACGCGUGAAGUCCUCCGCCUGGGGAGUACGGCCGCAAGGUUGAAACUUAAAGGAAUUGGCGG